rfam:Picea glauca, whole genome shotgun sequence.
ACAUGCUUACAUCAUAGAAUUAAUGCACCAGAUCCCAUUAGAACUCCGCAGUUAAGCGUGCUCGGGAUAGAGUAGUACUGGGAUGGGUGCCUGAGAAGUCCCAGUAUUUUACAUGCC